rnacentral:tRNA from 1 species
CCGGGUGUAGCGCAGUCAGGUAGCGCACGUGUUUUGGGAGCACGGGGUCGCAGGUUCAAAUCCCGCCGCCCGGACCA